AAAGCACCUUUACUUCCUAACACUAUAGAUGAAAAAAAAGGAGCAGCUAUGCUGAUUAAAGAAAUUAUUCUGUGUCUUGCUUCAACUGCUACAGUCACCAAGAAGAAAACCUUCCCAUUGUUUAUCUGCGUGAAGAUGCAGCACAAGAUCCUAAAAUAAACCUGGCAACUGAACAUGGGGGUACCUGAGAAAGGUAACGUGUGCCUAGGCCA